GAUUUUAAUUGAAGGGCUGCAGUAUAUUGACUGUACAAAGGUAGCAUAAUCAUUAGUCAUUUAAUUGAUGACUUGUAUGAAGGAUUGGAUGAAAUAUAAUCUGUCUCUUAAUUAAUAAUAUAAUUUAAUUUUUUAAUUAAAAAGUUAAAAUGAUUUAAAAAGACGAGAAGACCCUAUAGAGUUUUAUAAAUAAAUUAAUUAAGAUUAUUUAAUAAUAUAAAAUUAAAAUUAAUUUAUUUAUUUUAUUGGGGUGAUAGAAAAAUAUAUUUAACUUUUUUUUAACAAAAACAUUUAUAAGUGGUUAAAUGAUCCAGUAUUAUUGAUUAUAAGAAAAAAUUACCUUAGGGAUAACAGCGUAAUUUUUUUUUUUAGUUCAUAUAAGAAAAAGAGUUUGCGACCUCGAUGUUGGAUUAAGAUAAAAUUUAAAUGCAGAAG
rnacentral:rRNA from 1 species